rnacentral:rRNA from 1 species
AUAUGGUCAAGUAAGUAAGGGCUUACGGUGGAUGCCUUGGCAUUGGCUGGCGAUGAAGGACGUGGGUUGCUGCGAUAAGCGUCGGGGAGCCGUAACCAGGCUUUGAUCCGGCGAUCUCCGAAUGGGGAAACCCGGCGGUCAGAAAGGCCGUCAUCCCGCAAGGGAAGCAAACCCGGGGAAUUGAAACAUCUAAGUACCCGGAGGAAAAGAAAUCAACCGAGAUUCCGUAAGUAGCGGCGAGCGAACGCGGAACAGCCUAAACCUCUGUCUACGUUACAGCUGCAGGGCGCUGUAGCAGAGGGGUUGUAGGAGCUGCAUGGGUCGCCUGUAUGACCCGAGAAAGUUACCAAGUUUACUCUUAGGUGAAGGCAUCUGGAAAGAUCCGCCAAAGAGGGUGAUAGCCCCGUAACCGAAAAGAGUAAGCCUUUCGCAGAUUUCCUGAGUACGAUCCAACACGAGAAAUUGGGUCGGAAGCUACCAAGACCACUUGGUAAGGCUAAAUACACGCCAAUGACCGAUAGUGAACGAGUACUGUGAAGGAAAGGUGAAAAGCACCCCGGAAGGGGAGUGAAAUAGAACCUGAAACCGUAAGUCUACAAGGUGUCGAAGCUCCUUUUGUGAGCGACGGCAUUCCUUUUGAAGAAUGAGCCGGCGAGUUACUUUACGUUGCAAGGUUAAGACAGUCAAUGUCGAAGCCGAAGCGAAAGCGAGUCCGAAGUGGGCGCAAAGUAGCGUGGAGUAGACCCGAAGCCGUGUGAUCUACCCAUGAGCAGGUUGAAGGUCGGGUAAAACCGGCUGGAGGACCGAACCGCCUAGCGUUGAAAAGCUAUCGGAUGACUUGUGGGUAGGGGUGAAAGGCCAAUCAAACUCGGCUAUAGCUGGUUCUCUCCGAAAUAGCUUUAGGGCUAGCGUUAUGCGUUCAAUCGCGGGGGUAGAGCACUGAAAGGACUAGGGGGCCCACCAGCCUACCAAACCCUAUCAAACUCCGAAUACCGUUGAUUCUAGAGCAUGGCAGUCAGAACGCGGGGGAUAAGCUUCGCGCUCAAGAGGGAAACAGCCCAGACCGUCGUCUAAGGCCCCUAAGUCUACGCUAAGUGGCAAAGGAGGUAGGGACGCUCAGACAACCAGGAUGUUGGCUUAGAAGCAGCCACCAUUUAAAGAGUGCGUAAUAGCUCACUGGUCAAGCGUCCCCGCGCCGAAAAUGUAAUGGGACUAAGCGUGGCGCCGAAGACACGGAUUUCCGUAAGGAAGUGGUAGGAGAGCGUUGUAUUCAGCGUUGAAGGCACACCGGGAGGAGUGCUGGAGCGUUUACAAGUGAGAAUGCCGGCAUGAGUAGCGUUAAAGAGGGUGAGAUUCCCUCUCGCCGAUAGCCCAAGGUUUCCCCGGCAAGGCCAAUCCGCCGGGGGUUAGUCGGCCCCUAAGACCAACCCGAAAGGGGUAAUCGAUGGGAAGCAGGUUCAUAUUCCUGCACCGCCGUGGGCCUGUUUGAGUGAUGGAGUGACGCGGAAGGGUAUGCAAUCGGACUGUUGGUUGUCCGUCUCUGGUUGUGGCGUGGUUUCCAGGAAAAUCCGGAAGCCGUAUACGUGAGGACUGGAGCGAGUGAUCCUACGGGUGAUCGUAGUUGUUGAUCCCAUGCCGACGAGAAAAACUUCUAAACGAGGGACCGCGGUGACCGUACCGUAAACGGACACACGUGGGCAAGGAGAAUAUCCUGAGGCGCUCGAGAGAACUCUUGCUAAGGAACUCGGCAAGUUAGCUCCGUAACUUAGGGAUAAGGAGCGCCCCAUUAUUGUGAAGGACCUGCGUCUGGAGCGAGAAGGGGCCGCAGAGAAAUGGGGGUGGCGACUGUUUAUCAAAAACACAGGUCUCUGCUAAGUCGCAAGACGACGUAUAGGGACUGACACCUGCCCGGUGCCGGAAGGUUAAGAGGAGGGGUUAGACUUCGGUCGAAGCUCUGAAUUGAAGCCCCGGUAAACGGCGGCCGUAACUAUGACGGUCCUAAGGUAGCGAAAUUCCUUGUCGGGUAAGUUCCGACCCGCACGAAUGGUGAAACGACCUCCCCACUGUCUCAGCAAGAGACUCGGCGAAAUUCUAGUGCCCGUGAAGAUGCGGGCUUCCAGCACCUGGACGGAAAGACCCCGUGAACCUUUACUGUAACCUGGCACUGAACUCUGGUUCAGUAUGUGUAGCAUAGGUGGGAGACUUUGAAGCGGAGGCGCCAGCCUCUGUGGAGUCAAAGGUGAAAUACCACUCUUACUGGACUGGAGUUCUAACCGGUAUUAGAAAUACUGGAACACUGUCAGGCGGGCAGUUUGACUGGGGCGGUCGCCUCCUAAAGAGUAACGGAGGCGCCCAAAGGUUCCCUCAGCGCGGCCGGAAAUCGCGCGUAGAGUGUAAAGGCAUAAGGGAGCUUGACUGCGAGACCUACAAGUCGAGCAGGGACGAAAGUCGGGCUUAGUGAUCCGGUGGUUCUGUGUGGAAGGGCCAUCGCUCAACGGAUAAAAGGUACUCCGGGGAUAACAGGCUUAUCGCGCCCAAGAGUUCAUAUCGACGGCGCGGUUUGGCACCUCGAUGUCGGCUCGUCGCAUCCUGGGGCUGGAGCAGGUCCCAAGGGUUUGGCUGUUCGCCAAUUAAAGCGGCACGCGAGCUGGGUUCAGAACGUCGUGAGACAGUUCGGUCCCUAUCCGGUGUUGGCGUUGGAGAUUUGAGAGACCCUGUCCCUAGUACGAGAGGACCGGGAUGGACGAACCUCUAGUGCACCUGUUGUCGCGCCAGCGGCAUCGCAGGGUAGCUAUGUUCGGAAGGGAUAACCGCUGAAAGCAUCUAAGCGGGAAGCCUUUCUCAAGAUGAGAUCUCCCUGGGCUUCGGCCCCUGAAGACACCUCAAAGACCAUGAGGUUGAUAGGCCACAGGUAUAAGGGCAGUAAUGUCUGUAGCCGAGUGGUACUAAUAUGUCGUGAGGCUUGACCAUAUUACACC